rnacentral:rRNA from 1 species
UACGUAGGGUGCAAGCGUUGUCCGGAAUUAUUGGGCGUAAAGAGCUCGUAGGCGGUUUGUCGCGUCUGCUGUGAAAACUCAGGGCUUAACUCUGAGCUUGCAGUGGGUACGGGCAGACUAGAGUGCGGUAGGGGAGACUGGAAUUCCUGGUGUAGCGGUGAAAUGCGCAGAUAUCAGGAGGAACACCGGUGGCGAAGGCGGGUCUCUGGGCCGUAACUGACGCUGAGGAGCGAAAGCAUGGGGAUCAAACAGG